UGAGGAAUAUUGGUCAAUGGGCGAGAGCCUGAACCAGCCAAGUAGCGUGCAGGAAGACGGCCCUAUGGGUUGUAAACUGCUUUUAUGUGGGGAUAAAGUGCGUGACGUGUCAUGCAUUGCAGGUACCACAUGAAUAAGGACCGGCUAAUUCCGUUCCAGCAGCCGCGGUAAUACGGAAGGUCCGGGCGUUAUCCGGAUUUAUUGGGUUUAAAGGGAGCGUAGGCCGUUUGGUAAGCGUGUUGUGAAAUGUAGGAGCUCAACUUCUAGAUUGCAGCGCGAACUGUAAGACUUGAGUGCGCAGAACGUAGGCGGAAUUCAUGGUGUAGCGGUGAAAUGCUUAGAUAUCAUGAAGAACUCCGAUUGCGAAGGCAGCUUACGGGAGCGCAACUGACGCUGAAGCUGGAAGGUGCGGGUAUCGAACAGG
rnacentral:rRNA from 1 species